rnacentral:lncRNA from 1 species
CAUUGAUGAGGGAGCAGGAGGCUGGCUGAGGACAAAGCAAGAGCUGGCGCCUUGCACCCCCCCCUUCAUCCGCUCCCCUCCAUAGGUGUAGCAUUCCUCAGGCACCCCUGACUGCCAUAAAAUGAUAAAUAGUUAACUUGCUAAGAUCACAAUCCUACAAGACAGGAGUCUCCCUUGGUUUGCAAAUAUCCUUGAGAUUUACAAACAAAGAAGUUACCUUAUCAAUAGCCCAAAUUCCAAAGACACAGAACUCAGUUUCUCAAGCCUAAUAUCACCCUCCCCUCCAUAAAAACCGAAGGAGGUGGAGGGAGAAGGAAAAGUAAAUAAAGUUAAAUUUCUUCUAAACCUAAAUCUCAUUAACAAGGAUGCUUGAUGGCAGGAAUGUAACAUUCCACCAGGAGACUCCCAAUUGUCUUUACUUAAUAGUAACUAAGCCUUCAAUAUCCUGAUAGUAUUCUUUGCCCCAAUAACCCUUUGUCCUCACCUACCCAACUCCUGCGUAUAUAACCAACCACCCCUCACAACCCGGGGCGGCCGCAUCUCUGCCUGACCUCAGCCCACCAAACCUCACCUAGGUUCUAGAACUUCAUCAUCAUGACCUCACUGGAGACCAUAGUGUCUGCUCGUUCUGCAGCAUCCCAGGCCGUACCUCAGAAAGAGCUGGAGAACAGGGUUAAUUUCCAGAAGUUAGGACUGCUGCAGGACCCAUGAUCUUCUUUUGGAAAUAAAGCGGACAAAGGCAGAGCAUACAACUUUUCCUUUGAAUAGGAAUCAUUUUCCAGGGAAGGACAUUUAAUAAGUUUCACACAGGAAGUCUCUGUUACCAAUAAAGACUUAACAAAGUUAA